rnacentral:rRNA from 1 species
UACGAAGGGGGCUAGCGUUGCUCGGAAUCACUGGGCGUAAAGGGCGCGUAGGCGUCCGAUCAAGUCAGAGGUGAAAGCCCAAGGCUCAACCUUGGAACUGCCUUUGAUACUGUUUGGCUAGAGACCGGAAGAGGUAAGUGGAACUGCGAGUGUAGAGGUGAAAUUCGUAGAUAUUCGCAAGAACACCAGUGGCGAAGGCGGCUUACUGGUCCGGUUCUGACGCUGAGGCGCGAAAGCGUGGGGAGCAAACAGG